AUAUUUCUUUGUUCUGGUUUCUCUUUCCACUGCAAGGCCUCUGUCAUGCAAGGGGAUUGACCUGGCUCUGGGGAGUAUCUGCACAUCUGUGAGAAACUCUUUUCCUCUUUCACUGUGUCUUUGGAAGAAAAGAAUGGAGGACAGGACUGGGUGAGGAAGAAGGUUUGACUGAAAACAAAGGCAAGGUCAGAGCGUGGCUCCACUGUGUGGGCUCCCAGCAGAGCAGGAGGUAGCUGGCGUGAAAGCCUGGUCUGUGCCAUAAAGGGGCAUGGAGGACACCUGAAAAGGAAGUUCUAACAAGAAAAAAGAAAGCUGGAAGGACCCAGAGGUUUAAGGCGUAACCCUUUGGAAACAAGAGGUCAGCUAAAUCUGUAUUAAAGGCUGCUCAAGGAGAAUUUACCUGGCAACAGAUUUACUUAAAUGCUAUCACCUGGACCCUUAUCAGUAGAUGCAGCUGGGGAAAACCUCAGGGAACUUGUCUGGCCGUUCUUAUGCUUCUAGGGUGCUGAUGGUGUUCAUUGAGUUGUGCUCCCCAGGGAACUGCAGUAAUGUAGUGAGAUAAUAGUAAACAAGGUGAGAACCACGGGCAUUCUGAAGAAAAUAAUAAAGAAAAUGAGCAUUGUGGAGUUAAACAGAAAAACAUUCUAUGAUUCUCCAAGGGUGGAAAAGUAGACCAGAUUAUUUCCUCAAUUUAUUCAGAAGAGGAAAAAAGAAACCUACCAUAGAACAUUGGCUACCAACUGUUUUCUUGGAUAUCUUCAGGGAAAAAUGGAGAAAAGAUGAACGCGAGAAAGACAUCUUGUAAUGACAAAUUCAGUCGUGAAGUGACCGCUGUCAACUGGACAUAAGUAAGCAAGUGGAGUAACUUGGUUUGUUAUAUUUAUGGACUAGAGAACUUCCACUGGAAGAUAUCCAAAUAGGUGCCCAUAAAUUAAGGAAUGCUGAAAAAUAGCCAAAGCUGAGUGCUUUUGAAAAUUCUACUUUUCCUAUACAGAUUUUAU